rnacentral:rRNA from 1 species
CCUACGGGAGGCAGCAGUGAGGAAUAUUGGUCAAUGGACGCAAGUCUGAACCAGCCAUGCCGCGUGCAGGAAGACGGCUCUAUGAGUUGUAAACUGCUUUUGUACGAGGGUAAACGCAGAUACGCGUAUCUGUCUGAAAGUAUCGUACGAAUAAGGAUCGGCUAACUCCGGGCCAGCAGCCGCGGUAAUACGGAGGAUUCAAGCGUUAUCCGGAUUUAGUGGGUUUAAAGGGUGCGUAGGCGGUCGGAUAAGUUAGAGGUGAAAUCCCGAGGCUCAACUUCGGAAUUGCCUCUGAUACUGUUCGGCUAGAGAGUAGUAGCGGCAGGCGGAAUGUAUGGUGUAGCGGUGAAAUGCUUAGAGAUCAUACAGAACACCGAUUGCGAAGGCAGCUUACCAAGCUACUACUGACGUUGAGGCACGAAAGCGUGGGGAGCAAACAGGAUUAGAUACCCUAGUAGUC